rnacentral:rRNA from 1 species
AUUGAACGCUGGCGGCAGGCUUAACACAUGCAAGUCGAGCGGAGAGAGGUAGCUUGCUACUGAUCUUAGCGGCGGACGGGUGAGUAAUGCUUAGGAAUCUGCCUAUUAGUGGGGGACAACAUUUCGAAAGGAAUGCUAAUACCGCAUACGUCCUACGGGAGAAAGCAGAGGAUCUUCGGACCUUGCGCUAAUAGAUGAGCCUAAGUCGGAUUAGCUAGUUGGUGGGGUAAAGGCCUACCAAGGCGACGAUCUGUAGCGGGUCUGAGAGGAUGAUCCGCCACACUGGGACUGAGACACGGCCCAGACUCCUACGGGAGGCAGCAGUGGGGAAUAUUGGACAAUGGGCGCAAGCCUGAUCCAGCCAUGCCGCGUGUGUGAAGAAGGCCUUAUGGUUGUAAAGCACUUUAAGCGAGGAGGAGGCUACUUUAGUUAAUACCUAGAGAUAGUGGACGUUACUCGCAGAAUAAGCACCGGCUAACUCUGUGCCAGCAGCCGCGGUAAUACAGAGGGUGCAAGCGUUAAUCGGAUUUACUGGGCGUAAAGCGCGCGUAGGCGGCUAAUUAAGUCAAAUGUGAAAUCCCCGAGCUUAACUUGGGAAUUGCAUUCGAUACUGGUUAGCUAGAGUGUGGGAGAGGAUGGUAGAAUUCCAGGUGUAGCGGUGAAAUGCGUAGAGAUCUGGAGGAAUACCGAUGGCGAAGGCAGCCAUCUGGCCUAACACUGACGCUGAGGUGCGAAAGCAUGGGGAGCAAACAGGAUUAGAUACCCUGGUAGUCCAUGCCGUAAACGAUGUCUACUAGCCGUUGGGGCCUUUGAGGCUUUAGUGGCGCAGCUAACGCGAUAAGUAGACCGCCUGGGGAGUACGGUCGCAAGACUAAAACUCAAAUGAAUUGACGGGGGCCCGCACAAGCGGUGGAGCAUGUGGUUUAAUUCGAUGCAACGCGAAGAACCUUACCUGGCCUUGACAUAGUAAGAACUUUCCAGAGAUGGAUUGGUGCCUUCGGGAACUUACAUACAGGUGCUGCAUGGCUGUCGUCAGCUCGUGUCGUGAGAUGUUGGGUUAAGUCCCGCAACGAGCGCAACCCUUUUCCUUAUUUGCCAGCGAGUAAUGUCGGGAACUUUAAGGAUACUGCCAGUGACAAACUGGAGGAAGGCGGGGACGACGUCAAGUCAUCAUGGCCCUUACGGCCAGGGCUACACACGUGCUACAAUGGUCGGUACAAAGGGUUGCUACCUAGCGAUAGGAUGCUAAUCUCAAAAAGCCGAUCGUAGUCCGGAUUGGAGUCUGCAACUCGACUCCAUGAAGUCGGAAUCGCUAGUAAUCGCGGAUCAGAAUGCCGCGGUGAAUACGUUCCCGGGCCU